CCUUUAGAUAAGACAUAUGAAAUGCCUCUAUAGCUUUGACUAUAGAGGCAUUUUCAUGUAUAAUAUUUGUAUUGCAAUAUUGGAUCAUGGCAGUUCUCGGGCCUGUGCAAUGGGGGCCUGUGAAUCGUGUCAGGACUGAGAGGUAGCAGCACUAAGCGGUAACCUUCAUGUGCCACGGGGAACCCGGGAGCUGUCGUGAUCGAAUAUUGCAAGGCGGCCUGAGGG
rnacentral:SRP_RNA from 1 species